rnacentral:lncRNA from 1 species
AUGGAAGGCUUACACCCACCACCGGUUCUUCAGCUGAAUGGAAAUGUGGCUGAAAAUUGGAGAAGAUUUAAGCAACGUUUCACGUUGUACCUGUCAGCAACUGGACUCGACGAGGCAAGUGAUGAAAAGCAAGCGUCAGUGUUUUUGCAUGUAGUGGGUGAUGAGGCGCUGGAAGUCGAUAAUAACUUCACGUUUCCUGAUGGUGACGGAAUGAAGCUGGAUGAAAUAAUGGAGAAGUUUGAGGCUUACUGCAUACCUAAGAGAAAUGUGACGUUUGAGAAGUAUAGAUUCUUCACAUGUGUACAGAAGACUGGGGAGACAAUAGAUCAGUGCGUCACAGAGCUGCAGAACAGGAGUAAAACAUGUGAGUUUGGAGGACUGACAGACUCUUUGAUAAAAGACAGACGUGUGUGUGGGAUUCCAGACAACGGGUUGAGUGAGAGGCUACUGAGAGAGGAAAAUCUUGACCUGGAAAAAGCAUUAACACUGUGCAGAGCAGCUGAAACAGUGAGGGCACAAGCUAAAGAACUGCUGAGUGACAGCUGCAGAGUGGAUGCUGUAAAAAAGAACACACACAGGGUCAAAAAAGAGAGUGCUGCUGCUGAAAUGAAUCUACAAUUGAAAUCGCCAGCGAACAGGGACAGAAAGGAAAAGACUUGUGGUCGCUGCGGGAUGCAACAUCCUCCUAAAAAAUGUUCGGCAUAUGGGAAAAGAUGCAAUAUUUGUAACAAAAAUAACCAUUAUGCUAGGUGCUGCAAAGUUCAAACCCCGAAACAAAGUUCAGUUCAUACGGUGGAUGAAGACGACACAGAGGAGCUCUAUGUAGCUGCAGUGACAGACAGUAAAACAGGAGGAAAGGACUGGAUAAUGACUCUCAAAGUAAAUGACACACUCAUGAAAGUCAAGCUGGAUACUGGAGCUCAAGUGAAUGUCAUAUCUGAAGCAGAGUUCAAGAGAAUCAGACCUAGACCCAAAAUGCAUGCUACGUCGGUGAAAGUGAGUGGAUAUUCAGGUUCAGAAAUACCUGUAAAAGGUAAAUGCAUGGUUAAAGUGACACACAAGGACAAGGAGCACACGCUAACGUUCAUCGUGGUGCCAAAGAAUGUGCAGCCCAUACUAGGGUUGCAUGCCUGUGAGAGUCUGAACCUAGUGAAAAGAGUGCUCGUCGUGGAAACUGAUGAUGACAUGGACUAUAAUGAGUUGAUGAAGGAAUAUGGUGACCUGUUUCAGGGACUUGGUUGCCUUGCUGGAGAACACACAAUCAGAGUCGAUGAAAGGGUUAAACCAGUCAUUCAUCCGUGCCGCAAAGUACCAUUUGCUCUACAAAAGCCACUAAAAGCCGAGUUGGACAGGAUGGAAAACCUGGGAGUGAUUGAAAAGGUUGAUGAACCAACGGAGUGGGUGAGUUCUCUUGUUAUUGUGGAGAAAAAGACGGGAAAGCUCAGGGUUUGCAUGGAUCCUUGA